rnacentral:RNase_MRP_RNA from 2 species
ACCAUGACUGAAGAAUUGUGAAUCGAGACAAACAAAAGGAAUGAGUUCCUGUAUCUCAUUCGUAACUUGUCUUGGGGAAAGUCCUCGGCUAAUACAAGAGGCGGAAACGUCCAGUGCCGAAUACACGGUGCUUACUAUUGGCGAGAGAGACCAACCAUCUGUAAUCGUCGCUUCUUGCCAAACAACUUCUUCAAUUUAAUCGGGUUUACAAACCGCCUCUUCUCCUAUUGAGACUUGUAUGGGUGUGGUCUGGACUGCUCGGUGGAAGAAGUUGAAGAUUUGAUUUUGCAGUAUGGUGUCUUCUUACCAGUGGCUUUGUUUUCCCGAGUCUUCUAGGCUCGGUGAAGUUCUCCGGGUUCAUUCCCUGGGAAUUUUUCAGCAGUUUAUGGUUCCUUGGGGCCAUAGCAAUAUAGUCAUGCAAUCUGAUCGGUUGGUUGCCUUUUGGAUCUCUCGGUCUAUAAAGGGAACCUCGAUUAACUCGAUGAGGCUCACUCUCAACUCAUGG